GAUCAUGGCUCAGGAUGAACGCUAGCGACAGGCUUAGCACAUGCAAGUCGAGGGGCAGCACGAUGUAGCAAUACAUUGGUGGCGACCGGCGCACGGGUGAGUAACGCGUAUGCAACCUACCUAUCGAGAGGGGAAUAACCCGGCGAAAGUCGGACUAAUACCGCAUAAAACNGGGGUUCCACAUGGAAAUAUUUGUUAAAGAAUUAUCGCUGAUAGAUGGGCAUGCGUUCCAUUAG
rnacentral:rRNA from 1 species